GCCCAGCACCGAAUCCUGUACCGUCUUGGUACUAGGAAAUGUGGUGUUUAGGCCGUGCUUUGUGCUGGUACGACUCUCCUCAAGUCCACUUGAUUGUGGCUUCAGGCCCAGAGAGGGUGUAAGGCCCGUGGAGGCGAGUUGUCUGGUGCCCGGCACGUCCUUAGAGUCGGGUUGUUUGGGAAUGCAGCCCUAAGCGGGUGGUAAACUCCAUCCAAGGCUAAAUACUAGCACGAGUCCGAUAGCGAAGAAGUACCGCGAGGGAAAGUUGAAAAGAACUUUGAAGAGAGAGUUCAAGAGUACGUGAAACCGCUGAGAGGCAAACUGGUGGAGCUGAAAUGGCUUUGAGGAAUUCAGCCCUUCGCGCGAUUGAUGAUGCUGGUUGUGGGAUCUCACGACUCCGCCGGUGUUAUUCGUUUGCGUGAUAGGUGCACUUUCCUCUUAGUCGGACCACGACCAGCGAACUGUCUUGUCUAAGAUUUGUGGAAGGUAGCUUUCGCUUCGGCGAAAGUGUUAUAGCCACUCAUUUGGAGCGAGCGGUGCGUUGGAUAACUUGAUGCCUGCCCUUUGGGCUCGUACGUUGACUUCUUUCUACGGUGUUUCCGGCUUCACUGCCUCGGCAGGGGUGUUGGGGAUACUGUGGCUCGAGUUGGCCUCUGCGAUUGGCGUCUACAGUCAGUGGUUUCGAAGUAGGCAGUCCACCUGACCCGUCUUGAAACACGGACCAAGGAGUCUAACAUGUGCGCGAGUCAUUGGGCUCUACGAAACCUAAAGGCGCAGUGAAAGUGAAGAUCCAUUUUGGUGGAUUGAGGUAGGAUCCUGGGUUACGUGCUCAGGCGCACUACCGGCCCGUUCGACAUGUCUUCAUGCGGGCGGAGCAAGAGCGUACACGUUGGGACCCGAAAGAUGGUGAACUAUGCUUGCGCAGGUCGAAGCCAGAGG
rnacentral:rRNA from 1 species